UGCAAGCCAAAUUAAGGUGAAACCGCAAAUGGCUCAUUAAAUCAGUUAUGGUUCAUUAGAUGAUAAACCACAUUACUUGGAUAACUGUGGUAAUUCUAGAGCUAAUACAUGCAAAUAGAGUUCCCACCUAUUCAGGUAGGAACGCUUUUAUUAGAUCAAAAUCAAUACGUUUGUUUCGGCAAACGAUUCAAUUGGUGACUCUGAAUAACUUUUUGAUGAUCGCAUGGUCUUUGUACCGGCGACAAAUCUUUCAAAUGUCUGCCUUAUCAACUGUCGAUGGUAGGCUCUGCGCCUACCAUGGUUGUAACGGGUGACGGGGAAUCAGGGUUCGAUUCCGGAGAGGGAGCCUGAGAAACGGCUACCACAUCCAAGGAAGGCAGCAGGCGCGCAAAUUACCCACUCCCGGCACGGGGAGGUAGUGACGAAAAAUAACGAUACGGGACUCAUCCGAGGCCCCGUAAUCGGAAUGAGUACACUUUAAAUACUUUAACAAGUAUCCAUUGGAGGGCAAGUCUGGUGCCAGCAGCCGCGGUAAUUCCAGCUCCAAUAGCGUAUAUUAAAGUUGUUGCGGUUGAAAAGCUCGUAGUUGAAACUGUGUCCCGCACUGUCGGUGCGCCAUUUAUGGUGUUUACUGGCAUGCUGCGGGACGUCCUGCCGGUGGGAUUGUUACUUCUGUAUGUAUAUGUGCGUUUUAAUUCUUUAAAGCGUCAUGUGCAUAUAGAUUUGUAUCAUUCUCUUGUCACCCAUUGCGGUGCUCUUUAUUGAGUGUCGUGACGGGCCGGCACGUUUACUUUGAACAAAUUAGAGUGCUAAAAGCAGGCCUCACGCCUGAAUAUUGUGUGCAUGGAAUAAUAGAAUAAGACCUCGGUUCUAUUUUAUUGGUUUUCUGAACUUGAGGUAAUGAUUAAUAGGAACGGACGGGGGCAUUCGUAUUGAGACGUUAGAGGUGAAAUUCUUGGAUCGUCUCAAGACGGACAGAAGCGAAAGCAUUUGCCAAGAACGUUUUCAUUAAUCAAGAACGAAAGUUAGAGGUUCGAAGGCGAUCAGAUACCGCCCUAGUUCUAACCAUAAACGAUGCCAGCCAGCGAUCCGCCAAAGUUCCUCCGAUGACUUGGCGGGCAGCUUCCGGGAAACCAAAGCUUUUGGGUUCCGGGGGAAGUAUGGUUGCAAAGCUGAAACUUAAAGGAAUUGACGGAAGGGCACCACCAGGAGUGGAGCCUGCGGCUUAAUUUGACUCAACACGGGAAACCUCACCAGGUCCGGACACCGGAAGGAUUGACAGAUUGAGAGCUCUUUCUUGAUUCGGUGGGUGGUGGUGCA
rnacentral:rRNA from 1 species